rnacentral:rRNA from 1 species
UACGAGGGGGGCGAGCGUUGUUCGGAAUUAUUGGGCGUAAAGGGUGCGUAGGCGGUUCCGCAAGUCCUGUGUGAAAUCUUCGGGCUCAACUCGAAGUCUGCACGGGAAACUGCGGGGCUUGAGUGUGGGAGAGGUGAGUGGAAUUCCUGGUGUAGUGGUGAAAUACGUAGAUAUCAGGAGGAACACCGGUGGCGAAGGCGGCGACCUGGUCCUAUACUGACACUCAUACACGAAAGCGUGGGUAGCAAACAGG